rnacentral:rRNA from 1 species
AGUGAACGCUGGCGGUAGGCCUAACACAUGCAAGUCGAACGGCAGCACAGUAAGAGCUUGCUCUUACGGGUGGCGAGUGGCGGACGGGUGAGGAAUACAUCGGAAUCUACUUUUUCGUGGGGGAUAACGUAGGGAAACUUACGCUAAUACCGCAUACGACCCACGGGUGAAAGCAGGGGAUCUUCGGACCUUGCGCGAUUGAAUGAGCCGAUGUCGGAUUAGCUAGUUGGCGGGGUAAAGGCCCACCAAGGCGACGAUCCGUAGCUGGUCUGGGAGGAUGAUCAGCCACACUGGAACUGAGACACGGUCCAGACUCCUACGGGAGGCAGCAGUGGGGAAUAUUGGACAAUGGGCGCAAGCCUGAUCCAGCCAUACCGCGUGGGUGAAGAAGGCCUUCGGGUUGUAAAGCCCUUUUGUUGGGAAAGAAAAGCAGCAGGUUAAUACCCCGCUGUUCUGACGGUACCCAAAGAAUAAGCACCGGCUAACUUCGUG